GACGAACGCUGGCGGCGUGCCUAAUACAUGCAAGUAGAACGCUGAAGGAGGAGCUUGCUUCUCUGGAUGAGUUGCGAACGGGUGAGUAACGCGUAGGUAACCUGCCUGGUAGCGGGGGAUAACUAUUGGAAACGAUAGCUAAUACCGCAUAAGAGUAGAUGUCGCAUGACAUUUGCUUAAAAGGUGCAAUUGCAUCACUACCAGAUGGACCUGCGUUGUAUUAGCUAGUUGGUGAGGUAACGGCUCACCAAGGCAACGAUACAUAGCCGACCUGAGAGGGUGAUCGGCCACACCGGGACUGAGACACGGCCCAGACUCCUACGGGAGGCAGCAGUAGGGAAUCUUCGGCAAUGGACGGAAGUCUGACCGAGCAACGCCGCGUGAGUGAAGAAGGUUUUCGGAUCGUAAAGCUCUGUUGUAAGAGAAGAACGAGUGUGAGAGUGGAAGGUUCACACUGUGACGGUAUCUUACCAGAAAGGGACGGCUAACUACGUG
rnacentral:rRNA from 1 species